UCACUUUCAUGCAUGCCCUGCUUGUGUGU
rnacentral:piRNA from 1 species